rnacentral:tRNA from 1 species
UGCCUAGUGGUGUAGUUGUGUCAAGACGUUCGCCUGGUAAACAGGAGGGCGUUGGUUCGAUCCCAGCCGAGGCAU